rnacentral:lncRNA from 10 species
CCUCCCUCUCUAGGGUGUCUCAAUCAACCUCUGAGGUGCUGUGGUCUACAUCAAAGAGAUCAGUGGCAGCCUCAGUUUUAUCUUUUAAAUUCUUGGUUUUGUGACAAUUUGAUUUUAAGGAGGAGACUCUCAGCAUGUCAAUAGGCAGCAGUACUUAAGAGUGUCCAAGCACAUUGAACUGGAAGUUUGUAAUCUCAAAUCAGCUGAGAAACUUGAGGUAUUUUAGGGAGAGGAGGAACAAAAUAUUCCUUCUCCUUUUCCUUUUUUUAUUGAGCCACUCCUCUCUAUGGGUGAGAUUCGAGAUAUCCCAUGAAGUCAGGAAGGAAGACUGACAGAAGCAAGGCACACAGCAGAAAAGGAGUUGCCAGCAGCAUUAACCCUUACUGGACACCAUGGUGGACUUCCUUUGAAGAGAAAUCGUCCUCAUUAAACGCCUGAUUGCUUGCACUAUCCAGAAAAUACUGCCCUACUACCAAGUCUCAACAGAUUGCUCAGCUGAUCUUUAAUGAACAAAGAUGACCAAGUGAGAAAUGGACUUAUAUUGUUCAGAGGAAAGAAUAAUAUCUCUUCUUGAAUAAGAGGAGGGACUAACAAGAACUCCCUCCUUGACUAAACUUAAAGGUAUUUUGAGCCCUCUUCUCAACUAAGCCUCACACUUGGUGUCAUCCUAGGCCUGCCAAACCCAGUUUUAGCAAAAGUCUUGCUAAGCCUGCUAAGCAAGAAUCACCUGACACUUGAUAUUUAAUCAAGUUUUUUAUCCUCUCCCUCCUUGAUACAUAACCAAGGUUCUCUUGGUAAUUUUCCAUUCAUUAACUCCUUGAUUCUGCCCACUGGCUAUAAAUCCUUAGUUGUAUCUGCUUUGUAUGAAGUUGAGUCUAAUCUCUCUCCCUUAUUACAAUAGCUUCUGUCCCUUAUUAUGAUAGUCUUGAGUAAUGCCUUCCUUGCUUGUUUAAUUCCAUCUGCUGCAAUUUUUCAUUGACAAUAUGAACAUUAGUAUGUUCAUUUGAGUGAGGGAAUGUGUCCAGGUUUGUUUCUAUGAGCUAGUUAACAUGUAAGUGUAUUUGUAUCAGAUAAUGUGAAAGUGUGAGUGUAAGUACAUAUGAGUGUAUUUUCUUCAGUGAGUAAAUGUUUGAAAUACAUGGUGCCUGUGCGCAUGUGUGGCUGUGUGCAUGUUUAUAUACAAGUGUUUUGUGUGUAAGUGAAUUUUUAAAAUCAUAUUCAUGUGUGUGAGUGAAUGUGUGAUAAUGCUCAUUUGAGUGAGCUGUGGGCACGUUUGUAUGAGUGAGUGUUUGAGUGUGUGGGUUUGAAUAUAUGUGAAUAUGUCUAUGUGUGUGAGUAAUCUUUCAAUAUGUUUAUAAGAGUGAGUAAAUUAUAAUCCUGUUCAUAUGAGUCAAUGUGUGUCCAUGUGCACAUAUGUAAGCAUGUAUAUUUGUGGCAGUGACUAUGUGAACCUGUAGGUAUCUUAGAAUGUAUUAAUGGAAAAAUAUUUGAGUGCUGAGGUAAACAUCUGAGUUCAUGUGUAUGUAUUUGUGAGCAUAUGCAUGGAGUAUAACUUGUUGGUGUGAGUGUAUGAAUGUGUACCAUGUUCAUUUUAUGAGCAUAUUAAUGUGUGAGUAUACUGUGUAGGUGACAUGUGGGCAUGUAAUUGUGAGUGCUUGUAACUGUGAGUGCAUGUGAGUGUAUUAAUGAAUGUUUGAGCUUCAUGGUAAGUGCUAUGGUUUGUAUGUCUGUCCCCUCCAAAUCUCAUGUUGAAAUGUGAUCUCCAACGUUGGAGGUGGGGCCUAGUGGAAGAUGUCUGGGUCAUGGGGGUGGAUGCUUCAUGAAUAGCUUGGCACCCUCCCUGUGGUAGUAAGUGAGUUCUCGCUCUAUUAGUUCACAUGAGAUCUGGUUGUUAAGAAGAAUCUGGCACCUCCCUCCCUUCUCUCUCUUGCUUCCUCUCUUACCAUGUAACACACCUGCUCCUCCUUUGCUUUCUGCUAUAAUUUAAAGCUUCCUGAGGCUCUGACCAGAAGCAGAUGCUGGUGCCGUGCUUCCUGUACAGUCU